AUACUUACUUGGACGAGGUUAAUGUGUGAUCAGGUGGACCCAUGGCCUAGGGCAGUGACCUCCAUUGCACUUGGGAUAUGCUAGCUACUUAGCCUCAUUUAUCAAAGGCUAGCUUCCCUUAUAUAAGUUUGUAUAUAUGUGAGCUAUUUGGCUCAGU
rnacentral:snRNA from 11 species